AUUGAACGCUGGCGGCAGGCCUAACACAUGCAAGUCGAACGAGUGGCGGACGGGUGAGUAAUGUCUUGGAAUCUAGCUUAUGGAGGGGGCUAACUACGGGAACCUGUAGCUAAUACCGCGUACCAUAGGAUGAGCCCAAGUGGGAUUAGGUAGUUGGUGGGGUAAAGGCUCACCAAGGCGACGAUCUCUAGCUGGUCUGAGAGGAUGACCAGCCACACUGGGACUGAGACACGGCCCAGACUCCUACGGGAGGCAGCAGUGGGGAAUAUUGCGCAAUGGGGGCAACCUGACGGAGCCAUGCCGCGUGAAUGAAGAAGGCCUUCGGGUUGUAAAGUUCUUUCGGUAGCGAGGCGUUAACUACAGAAGAAGCACCGGCUAACUCCGUGCCAGCAGCCGCGGUAAUUC
rnacentral:rRNA from 1 species